rnacentral:rRNA from 1 species
UACGUAGGUGGCAAGCGUUAUCCGGAAUUAUUGGGCGUAAAGCGCACGUAGGCGGAUUCUUAAGUCGGUGGUGAAAUCCUGGAGCUCAACUCCAGAACUGCCUUCGAUACUGAGAGUCUUGAGUUCGGGAGAGGUGAGUGGAACUGCGAGUGUAGAGGUGAAAUUCGUAGAUAUUCGCAAGAACACCAGUGGCGAAGGCGGCUCACUGGCCCGAUACUGACGCUGAGGUGCGAAAGCGUGGGGAGCAAACAGG